AGCGUUCGUAGCCGGACUUUCAAGUUCGCUGUGAAAUGUUGGAGCUCAACUCUAACGCGUGCAGUGAAUACUAUAAGUCUUGGGAAUGGGGGAGGGUCGGAGUACUUCCAGGGUAGGGGUAAAAUCCGUUGAGCCUGGAAGGACUACCAGUGGCGAAGGCGCCGAUCCAAAACAUGUCCGACGGUGAGGAACGAAAGCUGGGGGAGCGAACGGGAUUAGAUACCCCGGUAGUCCCAGCUGUAAAUGAUGCAGACUGUGGUGUUACUCAUGAGUAAUCAUGAGUAGUGCUGUAGCGUAGGUGUUAAGUCUGCCGCCUGGGGAGUACGAUCGCAAGAUUUAAACUUAAAGGAAUUGGCGGGGGAGCACAAGC
rnacentral:rRNA from 1 species